rnacentral:lncRNA from 1 species
GAAAUUUGAGCAACAGCCUUCUAUUCUUGAAUCUGAAGAAGAACAAGUUUUAUGGGACGAUUCCUCCAGCAUUUGCAAAGGGAUGCCGAUUGAGUAAUUUCAACUUAAAUGGAAAUCUGUUAGAAGGGCCUUUGACACCAUCCAUGAUCCAUCCUUAAUUGUAAUGGUCUGGAAGUGCUAGAUCUUGGUAACAACAAGAUCAAUGAUACAUUUCCUCAUUGGUUGGGAAGUCUUCCACAGCUACAAGUUCUUGUAUUGAAGUCAAAUCAACUGCAUGGUUCCUUAUGUGUCAAUAGCUCCAAGUCUAUCCCUUUUUUCUCUAAAAUCCAAAUUUUUGAUCUCUCAAGUAAUUAUUUUUCUGGACCCCUACCAGUGAGAUACAUCAACAGCUUCAAGGCUAUCAUAAAUCUAGAGAAGAUUGGGAGUACAAUGUCGUACAUGGGGGUGUAUGCUCAGAGAGGUAGUGCCUUCUAUACCCAUUCCAUUGGAAUUGUUAUGAAAGGACAAGAUAGGGAAUUGGUGAAAAUUUUCACCAUGUGGAUGAUCAUUGAUCUAUCAAACAAUCAGUUUCAAGGGGGUAUUCCAAAGGUUAUUGUGAAGCUUAACUUGCUGAAAGGGCUCAACCUUUCUCAUAAUAACCUUAAUGGUGGUAUCCCCACCUCAAUAGGGAAUUUGACAAGUCUUGAAUGGUUAGACCUAUCUUCAAACAGUUUGUCUGGGACGAUUCCAAAUAGAUUGGCAGAUCUGCCAUUUCUUUCGUCCUUCAAUGUUUCUGAAAAUCAACUCCAUUGUCAGAUUCCUCAAGGCAAACAGUUCAACACAUUUGGAAAUGAUUCAUAUGAAGGAAACAAGGGAUUAUGUGGAUUUCCGGUCUCAAAAGGUUGCAACAUCAUUGAGCCAGCACCUCUAAAUGUGCUUGAAAAAGAUGGCUCAAAAUCAAACAUUACUUUUGGUUGGAAAGUGGUGUUGAUAGGUUAUGGAUGCGGAGUGGUGUUCGGAAUGUCCGUGGGAUAUGUUGUUUUCCAAACUGGUAAGCCGAAAUGGUUGGUGAAUUUGGUUGAAAUCCAACAUGAGAAGAAGCGAAGAAGAAAGUCAAAGGAUGGCAGUCGCAGCAAUGGAUGAAGAAGGAUCUAGUUAGUGGAAAUGAUGUUCAAGUGUUGAUGUUGUAUCUUCAUAAUUUCUUGUUUUGAAGUCUUUCAAUUUUUUUCCUAUGGUGAAAGGUUGCAUUGCCAUGCAUCUGUCUUUACUUUUGUAACAAUUCAUCUGUCAUAAUAUUAUAGAUUUUAUUGAUUUUAAUUUUUUCUCUAAUUUUUAAUAAAAAUAGGGGCAUAAUUGCUUUUUUUUUUUAAGUUUGAGAGUAUUUUUUAUGCAUUUUGAAAGUUCAAGUACCAAAUUGAGUGCAAAAAAAAAAAGAGUAGGGGCUUAAUUACUUUUUUUGAAAAUGUUUGAGAGCUUUUUUGAUGUAUCAAAUGAAAUACAAAUUUUGAGUAAAUCAACUAUUCAUUUUUAUGAAUAAAAAUUAUAUGGUAAAAAGGAAGUAGUGUUAAUAAUAAUAAAAAAGAUCAACAAUAGAAAACUAAUAAAGCAAUUUAGCCUAUGAUCUGCGCAAUAUAUUACUACAAAUGUACUGUACAAAAUAUUGAAGAAAACUAAUAAAGAAAUCUGAAAUUUUAACAAGUUCCGCAAAUAAUGUUUAUGAUUUGCUGUAAAUUGAUAUGUCAAAUUAGGCUCUCCAUCACACUUAAAAGUUUAUUUUCGAGCAAUUUAGAUAUCUUUGUUGCGUUUUUAUUUUGUUUUAGUUGUUUAUAUUAAUAAAUGAUUAGUGUGCAUUUUGAUGCUAUUUUAAGACCUGAGAUGGCCAAAUGGCACCCGGGGAAUCUAAUGAGGUUGGUGAGUGAUGCAGAGAGCCCAUGGUGGCCCGGAAGGAACGAAAAUGUUACCUAGAAAGAGGGUAUCGCAUUUCAAAGCAUGAAAGUCGUAAUACCCAUAACAAUGUUAAAAACAAGGAAGAUUGAGCCAUCAACAAUGUUAUCGUGAUACCGGUCAUAAGAUAUCGCGAUACCCAAAACUUCCAAGGAUCCCCCAAGACUGUUGUGGAUAUCGCGAUACCAAACUUUGGGUAUCGCAAUAUCAUUGAUGAGAGGAGACAAAAUAUAACUGUAGGGGUAAUCCUUUUCCAACAUGUGGAAUGGCCAUGGGAUGUGUUGUUUUCCAAACCGGUAAGGCGAAAAGGUUCGUGAAUUUGGCUGAAGACCAACAUGAGAAGAGGCGAAGAAGAAAGCCAAAAUAUAGCAAUCGCAUCAAUGGAUGAAGAAGGAUCUAGUUGGUUCAAAUGAAGUUAAAGCAUUUGUGCUGUGUCUUCAUAAUUUCUUGUUUAGUAGUCUGUCAGAAAGUUUUUCCUAUGGUGAAAAGUUGCAUUGCUAUGUGUCUGUUUUUAUGAUUGUACCAAUUCCUCUGUAUUUCAUUGCAUUUCGUACUAUUUGUAAGGGUUUAGUUCAGUGUAACAUCUUGUAUGGUGCAACUAUGUAUGUCUUCUUUCUUGAAUUUCAACUUUUAGUAAACAUUAUACUGCUCACCAUAAAAAAAAUACAUGUAGAAUUACAAAAGAUUCAAUUAUUCAAGUUUGAGUUGCAUUUAUAAACAUGUGAUGAUGAGAAUUCAUGAACAAAAGGUAUGGUUUGAGCCCUUUUGCAAUAUGCGUUUAUGUUGCAUUUACCUAUAUAUCUAUCGACAAAUUUAAGAGUAAUAUUUACAAUAGCAUUGCAGAGUAACAUAUUUACGAUUGGAUUACACAGUCAAAAGAUUGCAGCAACGAUGAGAUUAAUCCAAUUACAGGAAUUGAUAUCCUAAAUGGCUUUUAGGUACGUAGCUUCAUUGACGGUACAAACUAGUUAAAAUUUCCAGAAUUCAUGUCUUUGUUUUCCCUCAAGUAAACGUAGUCAAUACUGCAAAUGGUGUGGAAGUAUUGUACAUUGUGGCCCAAAUGUCCAAAAUUUCCACAUUGCUUGUAAAUUAAGUGAUGAAAACCAAAACUGUUUGAGGCAUCCAAUUACCCACAGAGAUAGGAAGUAAGGACGCAUGUAUAAUUAUUAUCAUUAAUUAAAGCAUAUAUAAUUACAUUAAAUAUAGGAUAAACUAUAAAAAUAAUCACUUUUAUUUACCUCAUAUUACAUUUUAGUCACUUAUGUUUGAAAUGUUACAUUUUGGUCACUUACGUUAUCGUUUUGGUACGAAGUGGUCACUCUACCGUUAAGCUCCGUUACCUCCCUAACGGCGAUUCUACGUGAUAGUCCAAAUGAGUUUUAAAUGCCAACUUAAAUGUCUUGCGUGGCUGUCUAAAUUAAAUUUAUUUAAUUAAAAACUUAUUUUCAUCUCAACAACCGGACAUUCAAGUUCGCAUUUAAAACCCAUUUAGACUGCCACGUAGGACUGCCGAUAGGGAGGUAACAGAGUUUGAUAGUAGAGUAACCACUUCAUAACAAAACGAUAAUGUAAGUGGCUAAAACAUAACAUUUCAAACAUAAGUAAUUAAAAUAUAAUAUAAGGUAAACAAGCCUUAAAUAUAUAAAUUACUAUGAUUACUAUCAAGAUAGCAUUGACCUGUUCAACAGGCGGAACCAAUAGAUCUGACCAUUUGGUGACUCUAGCAGUCGAUAAGUGUGAGUGGCAGACUGUGCAACUUGUAACUAUGUUAAUUGAUGAAAAGCUUUUUGAUAGAAGAUAAUAAACUAGUGGCAAUGGCAAACGGUUCCAAGACGAGGUGGGACACCGAGGCUUUGUGUAACAGGGGAAUAGAUGCACUCAAUGCUGGCGGCUGUUGACUUGUAUUUCUCUCUAACAAUUUAAAUCACCAGCUUGCUUCAUCCAUCUAUAAAUAAGGGUCUUCUUCAGUUUCAUAAAUGCAUAGAAAAUUAACAAGCUCAAAUUCCUUCUUUUCAUAUUCAUCUCUUUUACUUUGAAUUGCAACUUUAUCCUGCCUAAAUUCCUCAACCAUGAACCACCCAUCAGGACAGCCUCAAAAUGAACUUCCUUGGUCCGCCGGAUUCUGCGAUUGUUGCUCUGACCUGAAAACUUGUAACCCUUUCUUCUUUCUUCAAUAUCAGUUCUGUCUUUUUAAUUAUAUGAAUUAGUUUAUCAAUUAAAUAUAUGGACAUUUCAGGUUGCAUUUCAUACUGGUGCCCAUCCAUCACCUUUGGCCAGAUUGCUGAGAUUGUUGAUAAAGGGUCGACUUGUAAGUUAUUAAUUUCUAAAUUGAAAUCUUAUCAUCUUAGGUUUUGCAGACAUAUAUAUAUUUAAAGAGAUAUUAUGUAAUUAAUAAUAAUGUUGAAAAACACUGUUGGAUGGUGCAGCAUGUCGGGCAAGUAGGGCACUAUACACAUUAAUAAUGUUCAUCACCGGGUGUGGGUGCUUAUAUUCUGGCUGCUACCGAUGCAAACUGAGAAAGCAGUAUAACUUGAAAGGAGGCGAUUGUGGCGAUUGCAUGCGUCAUUUCUGCUGCGAGCCUUGUGCCUUGACACAAGAGUAUCGUGAGCUCCAGAACCGUGGAUUCGACAUGUCUAUCGGUAUGUCUACAUACCAAUAUUAUACCCCUUUUAAUUAUUCUUAAUAUAACUUCAAGUAUAUUAAUUGAGUAGCUGUAAACAAAUAUCUCCGAAUAAAUAUGUUGGUAAUGAUGAGAUAAAUUAUUGUUUGAGGUCAUUAAUUUUGUGGGGGUAUAUUUAUAUAUGCAGGUUGGCAUGCAAAUGUGGAGAAGAACCCAGGGCUGGCAAUGGCUCCAGCGGUAGAAAAAGGCAUGAGCAAAUAGAUGAUGAUGAUGAUGAGACCACUGCAUUAAUAUCAUCUUUACAUGUAACACUUAAUUCCUUGGCUUUCCAUAAUUGGUUGAUUGUACGGCUUGCCAAUUGAAUUUCAAGUUAUGUAUGUUUGUGAUUGUCAAAUAUAUUAAUAAAAAGUGUUACUAUUCAUGUUAGAUCUUCAUGAAUAAGAAUGAGAAUCGAAAAUAACUUGUAAUAUUGUGUGUGCAUGUUUGGUAUUUAGGUGAAAUACUUAGAAAGAGAGGUUGGAUUAAAUUAAUUUUUUAUUAUCAAAAUGGAUGAUUUUAAUUUUUAUAUUAAUAAAAAGAAUUAAAUAAAAUUAAUAUUUAUUGUUUUAGAAAAUGACAUCAAAUUAUUGUUUUUUAUAGUUCAAUCCAAAUAAAAUAUCUACAAAAUCAUUAAAAACUUUUAAAAUGUGACUUUGUUAAAUAGUAAAUAGCAUUUUUUUAAAAGGGUUCAUAUAUAUCGUGAUACCUAAAGUUGGCAACUUCUACUUAGUAUCUAAAUCGGUACAUAAACUUGAAAAUUGUAAGUCAACUUCGUAUUUUUAUAAGUAUGAUGAUGUUGGUGUAGUGUGAGGAAGAAGACUUGAAUGGGUUUGAUUAUUUUUAAUAAUACAGGAAUUUACAUAUUAUAAGUAAAUAGACACUCACAUUCUUUAUGUAUUAUAAGGAAGAAGACUAAGUCGAUCUACUUUGUAAUCUCAUCAAUCUUAAUUUUCUCAAUUGUUAAGGGAGUUCAAAUGAAAUACAAAAUUUUGGUAAAAAAAAGUAUCCAAUUUUGUGAAUAAAAAAUAUAUGGUAAAAAAGAUUUGGUAUCGAUACUUCGGCGCGGGUAUCAAUACUCGAUACAUUGCUUUUGGUUGGAAAGUAGUGUCUGGAACGGCCAUGGGAUGUGUUGUUUUCCAAACCGGUAAGGCGAAAAGGUUUGUGAAUUUGGUUGAAGACCAACAUGAGAAGAGGCGAAGAAGAAAACCAAAAUAUAGCAAUCGCAUCAAUGGAUGAAGAAGGAUCUAGUUGGUGCAAAUGAAGUUAAAGCAUUUGUGCUGUGUCUUCAUAAUUUCUUGUUUAGUAGUCUGUCAGAAAGUUUUUCCUAUGGUGAAAAGUUGCAUUGGUAUGUGUCUGUCUUUAUGAUUGUACCAAUUCCUCUGUAUUUCAUUGCAUUUCGUACUAUUUGUAAGGGUUUAGUUCGAGUGUAACAUCUUGUAUGGUGCAACUAUGUAUGUCUUCUUUCUUGAUUAUUGAAAUUAUAAUCAAAAUUAAUACAUGUUCUUUUUAUUAGCUUAAGGGCGUAAAAACACUUCAAAAUUUUCAAAAAAUAAAAUAAAAUUUUAAGUCCCUCUUUUUUUUACACUCAAUUGAAAUUUUUAAAAUGUAUCAAAAAUAUCUUUACAGUUCUUCAAAAAAAAAAACAAUUAAACCCCUAUUUUUUUUCCGCUCAAUUGGGUACUUGAACUUUCAUAAUGCAUCAAAAAUGCCUUAAAUUUUUUUCAAAAAAGCAAUUAAGCCCCUACUCUUAUUAAAAAUUAGAAAAAAAUCAUAAAAAUAAUAAAUUUUAGAAAAAAUUAUUAAAUUUUAAUAAAAAUUUAAAAUUUUAUUAAAAAUUAGAAUUUUUUUUUAGAAAAAUCGUCAAAAAAUAAAAAAUUAUAAAAUCCAUCAAAAAGUUUUAACAAUUAACUUUAACUAUUGAUCGUUAAAGUUAACGACCUCUAGUUUUUUCAAUUAAAGUCAUUAUGUGUCGCAACUCAACGUGACAUGUAGCGAAAAUAGAUAAAAAAGUAAAAAUCAAUAAAAGUUAUAGAAAAAUUAUAAAAUAUUUCUUUUGGUAGAAUAAUUUUUAUAAAUUUUUUUUACAAAAUUUAUAUUUCUUUACAUUUUGUAUAAUUUUCUUAUAACUUUAUAAAAUUUUAUAAAUUUUUAUAUUUCUAUAUAUUUUAAAAUUUUUUAAAAUUUUUAUAAAAUUUUACAAUUUUUAUAUAUUUUUAAUAAAUUUUUAAUAUUUGAUUUUUUAUUAAAAUUUAAUAAUAUUAUAGAUUUUAUUGAUUUUAAUUUUUUAUCUAAUUUUUAAUAAAAUUAGGGGGUUAAUUGCUUUUUUUUUAAGUUUGAGGGUCUUUUUGAUGCAUUUUGAAAGUUCAAGUACCCAAUUGACUGCAAAACAAAAAGAAAAAAAGUAGGGGCUUAAUUGCUUUUUUUGAAAAUGUUUGAGGGCUUUUUUGAUGUAUUUUGAAAGUUCAAGUACCCAAAUGAGUGCAUAAAAAGAACAGGGGUUUAGUUGCUAUUUUGAAAAAGUUUGAGGGCUUUUUGCACCUUUAAACCUCUUUUCUUUUUCUAAAUUUAAUUUAGAACCAACUUUGUGUAAAGACUUGGGAAAUUUAAUUAGCAAAAUUUCUUUCCAUGUAAAAAUUUCCCCUAUUUCUUGUUUGAAUUUAAAGCAAUACAAUAUUUUUCUAGCAAAUAAUAGAAAAUGACAGUCAAUUAAUUCCAGCAAUACAACAUUUCCAGUCUGGUGGAAAACAGCUAGGGACCAAAUUUUUAAAGUGUUGUUUACUACACACUUAGGGACCAUAUAUGUAUAUAUAUAUAUUCCAGUCUGGGUCUUUGUCGUGUUUUGUUGGUUGGCUAUGGCCUUCUUGUUGUUUCAUGGCCACUGCCCGUGAAUUAAGUCAUAUGUGGCCUUGUUUGCUAGACCUUAGUUGCUAAGUUAAAGGGAGUGAAUAGAGCACCAUAUUUCUUCUUCUGCGUGGAAAAUAAGUUGGCAUUAUGCCAAAUUCCACAUUCAUACAUAGAAAGGAAGCAAGGCCAAGUCAUUAUACUUUGUAAUCUCAUCAAUUCUAAUUAUUUCACUUCUUCAUUCUUUAGGGAGUUCAAGUGAAAUACAAAUUUUUCCACAUCCAAUCUCAUAAAUAAUCCGUCUUUGAACUUUCACAAAAAAAUAUUAAAUACCCAUUCACUUUAAUUCUACUAUUCUUAAAUCAUUCAAGUUUUGUGGAAAAUAUGCUUCUUGGAUAAAAUUAUUCAACACACAUGCCUUGAAUUUUAUGCAAUAAAAUAAAUCAAUAUAGGCCACACAUGCUUUGAAUAUUUAAGUAGUCCACAAUUUUGUUCGUUUGUGUGCAAAAUUCUACAUUGCUUGACAGCCAUACAUUCUAAGUAAAUAGACACCCACAUUGUUUACGUAUUAUGAAGAAGAAGACUAAGUCAGUCUACUUUGUAAUCUCAUCAAUCUUAAUUUUCUCAGUUAUUUAGGGAGUUCAAAUGAAAUACAAAAUUUUGGGAAAAAAAAUGUAUCCAAUUUUGUGAAUGAAAAAUAUAUGGUAAAAAGGAUUUGGUAUGGAUACUUCGGCUCGGGUAUCAAUACUCAGGGUAAGUUUAUCGAUACAUUGCUUUUGGUUGGAAAGUGGUGUUGAUAGGUGAUGACUAAAAUUUGAUAAAUUUGAAAAGUACAUGAAAUUUAACGAUUAUUGUUUGGUGAUGACUAAAAUUUUAAAAUUUGAAAAGUACAUGAACUAAAAAUGACCAAAUUAAAGUAUAAAGAUUAAGUCCACAACUUUUGCAAAGUACAAGGACUAAUAGCAGAAAUUAACCUAAAUUUCAUAUGGGUCAAUUACAAAAAUAAUCACUAAACUAUUCCUUUGGUUCUAUUCUAGUCACUCAACUAUAGAGGUGCUCAUGGGCUGAGCCAGGUCAAGCCUAAGUAUGAUAUUAAUGUAUUUUAUACUUGCUCAAGCUUGGCUCGGCCUGAAAUAUGAGCUUAAAAUUUUGCCUGAACUCAUCCAUAUUUGCAAAAGACUAACCCAAGCUCAUUUUAAGCAUGCCUAUAUAAUUUUUAAUUUUUUUUAAAUAUUUAUAUUAUAUUAUAUUAAUUAAUAAUUUAAACAUUUUUUAUUUAUUAAAAUUUUUUAUAGUCAUUUUAACAUUAUUUUAAUGUUUACAUUAUAGUAUUAUUAUAUAUUUAGUAUAAGUAUUUUUUUAAUAUGUUCUAAUUUAUAUAAUAUAAAGUAUUAUACACUUAAAAACGGGCCGGGCUGGGCUUGAGCUUUAGUUGUUACUCAACUAUUAAUUUUUUCGAUUUAGUUGUUAACCUUUUCAAAAGUAAAUAUUUUAGUCAGUCUCCUAUUAGUUGUUGUUAAAUGAGUGACGGAAAGCUAAUGUGAGCUUUUUUUAUUAGUCUAAUAACAAAUUUAGCCCUCCAAUGUUUACACAUUCUAUCAAUUUGAUCGUAAAUAUAAAAAAAAAAUCAACAAAUUUAGCCCUGAAUAUUAACAAAACUUGUCAUUUUAGUUCAAAUUCUAAAAAAUUUAAUAAAUUUAACCUUUAAUAUUUUCAAAAAAAUAGCAAUUUAGUUCUAAUUCUAAAAAUUUUAAUAUAUAUAUUUAAAAAAAUAUUUCUAAUCCUCUGUCUCACCCUUUGAUUUUUUAGAUGAGCUAAAAUCAAAAUAUAUCAUUAUGUCUUUUUGUUUUAAUGCUAAAAGAGAUAAAAAAAAAUGGAAAGCUAAAAUGGCUUUUCGUUUGUGAAGUUACAAAAUGCCAAAUAAAUUAUUAUGUCUUUUUAGUUUUAAUUUUUUACUUGAUUAAAAGAGAAAUAAUUAACGAAUGAAAAAUAAUUAUUCACAAAUAAAUUUAUCAGAAUUUAUAACAAAUGAGAUUUUAAAUUUGAAUUUAUAAAUCAAAAUUUAUAUAUAUAUAUAUAUAAAAGAAAACACAUUUUUAUGAAAUAUAAGAUUUUGUUAAAAGAAAGAGCAUAUAAAAGCAUACACGUUUUUAUGAAAUACAAGAUUUUGCUAAAAGAAAAAGCAUCCAAUUUUAAGAAUGAAAAAUAUAUGGUAAAAGCAUCCAUAACUUUUCAAUAUAAAAGAAAAAAAAGACUAACACCAAUGUUGUGGUAUUAUUUGUUGCCUAUAAAUACCAUUCCUAUCCUUCUUCUUCCUCUACAAACAUAACAUGGCCCCCUAUCUCUUUCUCUGCCUAUUCCUCUUCUUUCCCCAUCUUUAUGCUUCUUUUCUUCUUCAGAAUCUCACUCCUGCUCUUCACUAAUCCAGUUUAAGGACUCUUUUUCCAUCACAAAGGAUGCUUCCUGGUAUUUCGAUUAUAUUACUGGCCUUAAAUCUUAUCCCAAGACAAAUUCAUGGAAGGAGGGUACAGAUUGCUGCUCAUGGGAUGGGGUCACUUGUGACCACCUAAAUGCUCAUGUUAUUGCCCUUGACUUGAGCUGCAGUUGGCUAUAUGGCACCUUCCCUUCCAAUACCACUCUCUUCCUUCUUCCUCACCUUCAAAAACUCAACCUUGCCUACAAUCAUUUUAAUUCUUCCAAAAUUCCAUCCGAGUUCGGUCGGUUUACAAGCCUAUUCUACCUCAACCUUUCCAAUACAUGGUUUUCAGAAGUCCCAUCCCAAGUCUCCCACCUGUCAAAAUUGGUUUCACUUGAUCUCUCCUCUCGGAUUGAUUACUCUGGGCAAGUUACAAUUGACAAACAUGCUCUGGAGGGACUUGUUCACAACCUAACCGAGGUCAGACAUCUGUUUUUGGAUGGAAUCAACAUGACUUCUGUUAAUGCUCAUGUCUUCAUGAAUCUAUCCUCUUCUCUAAGGUCUCUCAGUCUUGCUUUUUGUGAUUUGCAAGGAAAAUUCCCAAAAAACAUUUUUGAUUUGCAAAACCUCAAUCUCCUCAACUUGAGAUACAACCAAUUGAGUGGACAAAUUCCAAGAUCAUUGGGGAACCUCUUGCAACUCACUCAUUUACACUUGUCGGGGAACCAAUUGAGUGGACAAAUUCCAUUGUCAAUUCUAAACCUAACGCAGUUGGAAUACUUGGAAAUAUCUGAAAAUUCUUUAGAAGGUUCCAUUCCAGAUGAGGUAACCGCUUUUCCUAAUCUAAUAUAUUUAUACUUAUCUGACAAUUUACUCAAUGGAACACUUCCGUCAUGGUUGUAUACUGCUCCCUGCUUAAAGGAAAUAUAUCUCUCUCAAAAUCAAUUCAGUGGGCAUAUCAAAGAAUUCCAAACCAAAUCACUAGAAUAUUUAUAUCUAGAAAAUAAUAAACUCCAAGGUCCCCUUCCAUCUUCAAUAUUCCAACUUCUCAAUCUUACCGGGCUCCUUUUAUCCUCAAAUAAUCUUAGUGGUGUCAUAGAGUUGAGCAUGUUCUCAAACCUUCCAAAUCUCAAAUAUCUUGACCUUUCAUAUAACAGCCUAUCCUUAAUAUCUAAUACUACUUCUACUGUUAAUCAUAUAUUGCCUAAUCUUACAGGCUUACAUUUGUCAUCUUGCAAUCUUAGUGAAUUCCCCCAGUUUUUAAAAGGGCUUAAAAGUUUGGAAAGCUUAGACCUCUCUUGCAACAAAAUUGAAGGCAAGAUUCCACAGUGGAUGCAAGAGGUGGGGAAUGUCUCUUUGACUUACUUCAACGUAUCUCACAACUCUUUGACAGAAGUUGAGCACUUUCCAUGGAAGAAUAUUGAAAGUCUUGACUUAAGCUCCAAUUUGAUCAGUGGAAAUCUUCCGAUUCCAGCUUCGACCAUCAAUGUCUUUCUGAUCUCAAAUAAUAGUUUCAAUGGAGAGGUCUCUUCUUUAAUCUGCAAUGCCAGUGAUCUUGAAAUUCUUGAUUUGUCCCACAAUAACUUGAGUGGAACAAUUCCGCAAUGUUUUGGAAAUUUGAGCAACAGCCUUGAAUUCUUGAAUCUGAAGAAGAACAAGUUCUAUGGGACGAUUCCUCCAAAAUUUGCAAAGGGAUGCCGAUUGACUAAUUUCAACUUAAAUGGAAAUCUGUUAGAAGGGCCAUUGACUCCAUCCAUCCUUAAUUGUAGGGGUCUGGAAGUGCUAGAUCUUGGUAACAACAAGAUCAAUGAUACAUUUCCUCAUUGGUUGGGAAGUCUUCCACAGCUACAAGUUCUUGUAUUGAAGUCAAAUCAUAUGCAUGGUUCCUUAUGUGUCAAUAGCUCCAAGUCUAGCCCUUUUUUCUCUAAAAUCCAAAUUUUUGAUCUCUCAAGUAAUUAUUUUUCUGGACCCCUACCAGUGAGAUACAUCAACAGCUUCAAGGCUAUCAUAAAUCUAGAGAAGAUUGGUAGUACAGUGUCGUACAUGGGGGUGAAUGAUGGCUUCUAUACCUAUUCCAUUGGAAUUGUUAUAAAAGGACAAUAU